rnacentral:rRNA from 1 species
UACAGAGGGUGCAAGCGUUAUCCGGAUUCACUGGGUUUAAAGGGUGCGUAGGUGGGCUGGUAAGUCAGUGGUGAAAUCUCCAGGCUUAACUUGGAAACUGCCAUUGAUACUAUCAGUCUUGAAUACCGUGGAGGUCAGCGGAAUAUGUCAUGUAGCGGUGAAAUGCUUAGAUAUGACAUAGAACACCAAUUGCGAAGGCAGCUGGCUACACGAAUAUUGACACUGAUGCACGAAAGCGUGGGGAUCAAACAGG